rfam:Homo sapiens chromosome 2, GRCh38 reference primary assembly.
GCCGGGCAUGGUGGCUCAUGCCUGUAAUCCCAGCACUUUGGGAGGCUGAGAUGGGAGGAUCACCUGAGGUCAGGAGUUUGAGACCAGCCUGGACAACAUGGUGAAACCCCAUCUCUA